GUGAGGAAUAUUGGUCAAUGGACGAGAGUCUGAACCAGCCAAGUAGCGUGAAGGAUGACUGCCCUAUGGGUUGUAAACUUCUUUUAUAAGGGAAUAAAGUGAGGGACGUGUACCUUUUUGUAUGUACCUUAUGAAUAAGGAUCGGCUAACUCCGUGCCAGCAGCCGCGGUAAUAAGGAGGAUCUAAGAGUUAUCCGGAUUUAUUGGGUUUAAAGGGAGCGUAGGUUGACAUAUAAGUCAGCUGUGAAAGUUUACGGCUCAACCAUGAAAUUACAGUUGAUACUGUAUGUCUUGAGUGUACAAGAGGUGGGCGGAAUUCGUGGUGUAGCGGUGAAAUGCUUAGAUAUCACGAAGAACUCCAAUUGCGAAGGCAGCUCACUGUGGUACAACUGACACUGAGGCUCGAAAGUGUGGGUAUCAAACAGGAUUAGAAACCCUGGUAGUCC
rnacentral:rRNA from 1 species